rnacentral:rRNA from 1 species
GACGAACGCUGGCGGCGUGCUUAACACAUGCAAGUCGAACGGUAAGGCCCUUCGGGGUACACGAGUGGCGAACGGGUGAGUAACACGUGGGUGAUCUGCCCUGCACUUCGGGAUAAGCCUGGGAAACUGGGUCUAAUACCGGAUAGGACCACUGCCUGCAUGGGUGGUGGUGGAAAGCUUUUGCGGUGUGGGAUGGGCCCGCGGCCUAUCAGCUUUGUGGUGGGGUGAUGGCCUACCAAGGCGACGACGGGUAGCCGGCCUGAGAGGGGUGACCGGCCACACUGGGACUGAGAUACGGCCCAGACUCCUACGGGAGGCAGCAGUGGGGAAUAUUGCACAAUGGGCGCAAGCCUGAUGCAGCGACGCCGCGUGAGGGAUGACGGCCUUCGGGUUGUAAACCUCUUUCAGCACCGACGAAGCGCAAGUGACGGUAGGUGCAGAAGAAGGACCGGCCAACUACGUGCCAGCAGCCGCCGUAA